UUUAUUUUUCAAAAACCCACGCCUUAGUGUGAACCCGCAAAAUAAAGCCCUCCGCCCCAAAAUUCAUAUAGCCGGAGCAAGCCUCAGUUUUGUCGACCUUCAACCGUCGGUGUUUCGGCCAGCAAUCGUCGGUUCUCUACCUUCAUUAUCUUUGGGAUUAUCAAAUCUCGGGUCUUCCUCUAUCUAUCUUCAUAUCUUUAGCUCGAUAUUUCUUAGGGUAUUACUUAUUGAAGUUAUUUAGGAGUCCAUCUAUAUGCAAACUGAAGUAUUUCAUGCGAAAAGUUUCAAAUAGUGGAACAUGAAUUCUCAAAUUUGAUUUUAUAGGUGGAAGAAAUUUUUCUGUAUGCGAGAUUAAAGUGGAAUUUGCCCCCUUUUCAGUUAAGAUUCUUCUUCUUUGAUUUUUUUUUUUCUUAAUUACCUGUUUUGACCCAUUUUCUUAUAGUUUUUUUCUGCUAUUUCUAGUUAGUAGUUUUCCUAUUAUCUUUUGGAGAUAGCGACUUCGCUAAAGGAAGGAAUGAAAAAGAUAAAUUAAAUUAGUUUUAUAGUGCAUUUCAUCAAAAUGAUCUCACUUGGAUUUGCGAUGGUUAAUUGAAAAUGCAACAUUGGAACUCUAGUACCAGAACAUUUGCAAUUUAAAAUUUUUUCAAGUAUGAAUUUUAUGUAUGUUUUAUAGCGACUUAACCCUGCAUGUCGAAGUAUAAUAUUGAAGUGUAAUAUUUUCGCCACUGAUUGUUGUGAGAUAUUAUUCUCCUUAGUUCUUCAUGUUCCAUUCACCAAAUGGUGUAUCUAUAGCUUAAUGCCUCAUUAUCUUACUAUUUCCACCAAACAAAGUGAAAAGAAGUAAAGUUAUAUACACAAAUAUUGUGGAAAUUAUAUACACUAAUGGAGGACUGGAUGAUUUAAUCUAGGAAGAUCACGUAAUAAUAACCUUAAUUCAUCGCCAUAUCCUCUUAUAUUCCUUAUGCAUGAUACUUCAUAUGCCUUUUGGUAAAAUAAUCCUAGAAUGUUGUAGGUAAUUGAAUUUUGUUGAUAUAUCUCUUGUACAUUGUGUCGUGAAUCUAGUAUUUAGUUGUUUGCUACUGCUUUUAAGUUUAUUUCUCUGUUGCAAAGAUCAAGUAGCUUUCCAUUCGGUGAUAAUUUUGUAAGUAUCCCAUGUUCCUUCUUAUUCUUUAAUGUUCCGCCGUGACCUCCUCUAUCAAACCCCCAAAGCCCCUUCCCUCGAAUCUGACUGGAACCCUUCGAAUACUAAAUUGAAGUUUUCCGGCCAAAACCUUAAUUACUCCAAACUACUCCAAAUUGAUACCACAUGGUCCCCUGGAUUCCCUCAUGAGGAAUUAAGCGUCAAUAGCACUCAAUUCCCACAGGAGAUGGCCGGAUUUGAACUUUGAGAGUUAGCCGGAGUUUUGAAACCGAGUUAGUGAGUUCCCCGAUUUUCUUCUCUUUUUCCUUUCUGGCGUUAAUUUAUUUGUCAUGACUGUUUGGCUUCUUGAUUACAUACUAAUCUUGGUUGUUAAUAAGUGCUAAUCCAAAAAUCAAUAAGUCCUCUUCAAUUCUGUUUCAAUUUCGUUCAACAGUUAUUUCAGUCCGAUCUUAUCAUUGUUUUAGUUUCUAGUUUAGUUUUGUUUGAUUGGUUUAAACUUGCCUGGGUAAUUCUUGGUGUUAGCUUAAUUGUUGUUUGAAUCCGUUCUAAUACAUGUUACAGUUUAUAAUUCUAAUUGAUUUUGUCUGGCCAUUGUUUGAUUUUAAUCUGCAUUGUUUGAUUUGCUAGUUUUGAUCAGUCAGUUUAAUUUAGUUUAAAUUCAUUAGUUGCAUUAGUAAUUCCAUACUCAAGGAUUAGUUUAAGGUUUGUUAGUGUUCUUGCUUAGCUCUUUAGGAUCAAUAAUUUCAGAUAGAUAAAGGGUAGUUUAGGCAUUUCUGACAAAGAAUAUUGUAGUAACUGAGAAUGAACUUCCUAGAAGCUUCUAAAUGGGGGCUUUAGGUAAAUUACAAAAGAUAAGUGUACUAACUUGGGUAACAAGUCAAUAAGUAGAGGACUAUUGUGAAAAUAGAAGAAGGACCAAAAGGAAAAUAGAAAAAUUGAGGGUUGCCCUCAUUAUUGCCUAUAAAAGGCAGUCCUCUUUGCUUCAUUCAUAAGUUUGGACCCCCAAAAUUCCCCCCAAAACAGUCUUAGUUCCUAGAAGUUAAUUUGAAUUUCAAAUUCAAACAUUAGAUCUCAAAUUUUCUUUCUCAUCUUAGAAAAAUCAAAAAAAUACACAAAAGCCACAGCAAAAUACAAAAAAACACUGUUACAUUGAUCAUUUUUUCAGAUUUCAGCUCUUAAUUCAACUGGUUGGAUCAUUUAGGAUAAAAAACAACUCGAAUUUCUCUAUUUGUGUUCUAUGUUCGAGAGUUAAAGCAUUUGCAAGUAGUUUGGGGUUUAUUCAAGUUGUUAUUGAUGUUUCUAAGUGUUGACUAGUUUUCUGGGCUUCUGGGCUCAAUUUCAAGUCUAUUUGCGUCUAUUCAAGUCAUCUUAGUUGAUUCGUGGUUCUAUCUUAUUUUGAUCACUUUCUGGAUUAUCGAGUUCAUCUCUGGGCUGUAUUUGAUUCCUGCUUGCUACUGCGGCUGAUACUUCUUCCUUUUUUUGUGAUUCUAAUACCAGGUACACUUUCAUAGCCUUUAAUGAUCUGGAAGUUUGAUUCAUGUGUAUGAAUAAUUUGGGGAAUAAAUGAAGAAGAGUUGGUAUCUGUUGACCUGAGUUUACUUAGAAUCAUUUUUAGCUUUUAAUAUUCAUUUUAGCUAUUCAUGUUUAAUUGUAAUUAUAACAAUUGUUUGAACUGUCUGAUGUGUAUUGGACUAUAAUAGGACUGUUUUGAGACUAUUCUUAACUUGUGGAUUGUGAGUUGAUUUUAUGUCGGCCUGUGAGCAGGUGAAUCCAUUAAUUAGUAAUUUUAUUUUGGGUUUAGCUUGUGUUACGAGUGUAGUGUAAUUCGAAUCUAUAUGAUAGUUGUAUUUUACAGUUGGAAAUUGAACUAAUAAUCAGUACGCAUGCUCCUAUUAUGUUAAGCAAUAAACAGUUUUAGUAAUAAUUCAGUAGUGCAAUUUUGGAAUCACGAGAUCGCCUGAAUGUUGAAUGACAGCUUAGUAAUGCUAAUUUGAAUAAGUAUCAUGUAAUUGAGCUGCUAAUACUGUUGUUUUCAGUUUGAUUUUUACCUUUAGUGAAUAUUAGGAGCUCACUAGUAGAUAGAUAAAUAAGAUAAUCUAAGUAUGGAACUGGAGACAAGAGGGGCUUGGUCUGAUGGUAACCAACCCUCACUUACAACCGAAAGGUUGUGAGUUCGAGUCUCCCCAGGAGCAAAUUCUGGGGAUUUAUGCCGGGGGUCUAUUUGGAAAC
rnacentral:lncRNA from 1 species